GGCCAAAUGGUCUAGUGGUAUGAUUCUUGCUUUGGGCUAGCUCAGCUGCAAGAGGUCCCGUGUUCAAUCCACGGUUUGGCCC